AUAAUAAAUUGUCUUUUCUGCAAUAACAAUUUUAUGAGAUAAGAAUAAACUAACCUAACAAUUUUGAUUUUUAUUGAUUCAUGAGGAUGGCCUCUGCCUUUACCGCACCUUCUUCGUACAAAAUGUUGUUGGAGAAUGUGUGGUUGUGCUUAUUGUGAUUCCCAACUUACUGAUGCUACUAGAGAUUUGACUACUUGUUCAGACUCUCUGCUCUGAGAAGCUAUAUAUCUACUAUACCAUUGAAAAGGCUUCACAUCGUUGUGAUACACAAGCCGAGAGGGUAUUACACAGGUUAGAUACAAUAUGACUUAGUUUCAGCUGACCGAGCAUAUGAACUUGGAUAACAGAUUAUGGAUAACUCGAAUUAGGAUAAAAGGUUAGUUACGUAGUCGAGUGUUAUUUGACUUCUUUGUAGUUUCUUGUUGUUUGAUUUUCCUUCACUAUUUGACAUUUGUUGUACUUCAAUAUUGUCUUAUUUAAUUGUAGUUAUUGUUACAUUUUAAUGUUCUAGCUGCUGGGAGAUAGCCUAAUGGUAUGCCUAAAGUGGACUAUGAAAUUCUGAGUUUCUUUGGCCAUUAAAUUUUGAUUUCUGAACUACAGUAUGCAAUUUGCAAUUUGGAACCUGCAAUCUUGAAAUGUAAUCUACAAUCUGGAAUCUGGAACCUGCAAUCUAGAAUUGUUAUCUAUAAUAUGCAAUAAUCUGGAACUAUAAUCUAAAAUGUAGUAAUUUGAAAUCUGGAAUAGUAAUCUGUAAUAUGCAUUAAUAUGUAUUGUGUAAUCUGUAAUCUGGAACCUGAAAUAUUGAACUAUAAUCUGCAUUGUGCAAUUUGGAAUUCACGUUAUAUGUGCUCUGCGAUAAUCUAGAAUUGGAACUGUAAUUUGGAACUCAAAAUUCUGCAGCCUACAAUUUGCAAUCUGGAACUUCUUGCCUCUUCUAUAAUGUACUGUUGCAAUCUGAUUUGUUGUACAUUUUAAAUCUGUUGGGAAAUGAGGUGAUCAAAUUUGAAGGGUCGCCGCAAGUCAAUUUGAUCUCAUUGAAGUUGAUGAUGAAGAGUUUUUGAACUAUUGUAGAAGCUUGAAUACAUUAUGUUCGAUUUUGUGAAAUAUAUUUAUUGCUAGAAUAAAUUGAACUAUUGUAAGAGUACUUUUUGAACUAUUGUGUAGACAUAUUUAGAAUAUUGCUUUAUAGGUAUGUGUAUGUAUACAAGACAUGCUAUCUUUUGAAGUUUAUUGUAAAUCUAUAUAUUUGAA